AGUAACCUGCCUUGGAGAGGGGAAUAACACAUCGAAAGAUGUGCUAAUACCGCAUGAAAUGUCUGAAUCGCAUGGUUCUGGACAUCAAAGAUUUAUCGCUCUGAGAUGGACUCGCAUCUGAUUAGCUGGUUGGCGGGGUAACGGCCCACCAAGGCGACGAUCAGUAGCCGGACUGAGAGGUUGGCCGGCCACAUUGGGACUGAGACACGGCCCAGACUCCUACGGAAGGCAGCAG
rnacentral:rRNA from 1 species